rnacentral:rRNA from 1 species
CCUACGGGUGGCAGCAGUGGGGGAUAUUGCACAAUGGGGGAAACCCUGAUGCAGCGACGCCGCGUGUGGGAAGACGGUCCUCUGGAUUGUAAACCCCUGUCCCCAGGGACGAAGAUGACGGUACCUGGGGAGCAAGCUCCGGCUAACUACGUGCCAGCAGCCGCGGUAAUACGUAGGGAGCGAGCGUUGUCCGGAAUUACUGGGUGAAAAGGGAGCGUAGGCGGGACUGCAAGUUGGGUGUCAAAUCUACCGGCUCAACCGGUAGGCGCACUCAAAACUGCAGUUCUUGAGUGAAGUAGAGGCAGGCGGAAUUCCUAGUGUAGCGGUGAAAUGCGUAGAUAUUAGGAGGAACACCAGUGGCGAAGGCGGCCUGCUGGGCUUUUACUGACGCUGAGGCUCGAAAGUGUGGGGAGCAAACAGGAUUAGAUACCCGGGUAGUC